AGGGAAGUUUCCAAGUGGUCAAAGGGGAUAAACUGUAAAUCUGUUGGCUCAACCUUCUGAGAUUCGAAUGCUUUCCUCUCCACCA
rnacentral:tRNA from 1 species